rnacentral:tRNA from 1 species
CUUUAGUCUAUAUAGAUUAUAUUAUUAAAUCA